GUUAUCGAACCUGCAGGCUCAGGAAACGAACAUUUCACCUACUGUUGGCCCUUCUCGGUGUUAUGAAGUUAUGCCUCCCAAAAUAUCAUCACUGGGCCGUCUCACCAGGAAUGCUAUGAGGGUAAAGGAAAUACGGAAAAACGAAACCACAGAAGAAAGGCAAUUAAGAUUAGAAAAUCAUAGGGAAAAACAGUUUGCUAGACGGCGGACAGAAACAGCAGAACAAAGGCAGGCAAGAUUAGAAGCUCGGAAACAGAGCACAUAUAAUUAUCGUACAAAUCGCAAGGUAGAUAUCAGAUGAAAAUGAUACAGAAAAAAAAGAACGAAAUACAGCAACACUUAAAGAAGCAACACCAGAAUCAAAUGUUAAAAAAUCAACAAUCACAUGACAGAUGGCAAAUGGACAGUGCUUUAUCAUCUCCAAAGACUUCAAAAUGUGUACAUCUAACUACUAAAAUGCCAGUCCAGCAAGAUUCAAGUUUAGCACAAGCAUCGCAAAAUAUUACAAAGCCAGCUCAGGUGUUGGCAUCACCAUUUCAAAUAACUCCAUCCAAAUCAAAUCUGGUGAAAAAUCCAAAUCAAAC
rnacentral:lncRNA from 1 species